GUUCGGUUAAGUCCGGCAACGAGCGCAACCCUUGUUCUCAGUUGCUACCAUUAAGUUGGGCACUCUGAGGAGACUGCCGGUGAUAAGCCGGAGGAAGGCUGGGAUGACGUCAAGUCCUCAUGGCUCUUACGGCCAGGGCUACACACGUACUACAAUGGCAGAAACAAACGGAUGCAAGACCGCGAGGUGGAGCGAAUCUGUAAAACACUGUCUCAGUUCGGAUUGGAGUCUGCAAUUCGACUCCAUGAAGUCGGAAUCGCUAGUAAUCGCAGAUCAGCAAGCUGCGGUGAAUACGUUCCCGGGCCUUGUACACACCGCCCGUCAAACCACGAAAGUGGUCUUAGCCAGAAGUGAAUCCACUAACUUCGGAGGUGUUUCACCAAGGCUGAGGCCGUAAUUGGGGUUAAGUCGUAACAAGGUAGCCGUAGGGGAACCUGCGGCUGGAUCACCUCCUUAAGCUGGAUCCCGGGAAGGGC
rnacentral:rRNA from 1 species